rnacentral:rRNA from 1 species
AAGGAGUGUUCAGGCGGGCAGAUAUUUUUCCUGCCACCGAAUACAUUAGCAUGGGAUAAUGGAAUAGGACCCUGACCUCCUAUUUUCAGUUGGUUUUGUUUACAGCGAGGUUAUAUCAGGGUAAUGAUUAAUAGGGAUAGUUGGGGGCAUUAAUAUUUAAUUGUCAGAGGUGAAAUUCUUGGAUUUAUGAAAGAUUAACUUCUGCGAAAGCGUUUGCCAAGGAUGUUUUCAUUAAUCAAGAACGAAAGUUAGGGGAUCGAAGACGAUCAGAUACCGUCGUAGUCUUAACCAUAAACGAUGCCGACCAGCGAUUAGGAGACGUUGAAUACAAAACACCGCUGUUAAUCCUUUCGGGGGUUAAUAGUUGGUGAAUGACUCCCCUAGCAGCUUGUGAGAAGAGAA